rnacentral:rRNA from 1 species
GACUCGUCACACUAUCAUUAACUGAAUCCAUAGGUUAAUGAGGCGAACCGGGGGAACUGAAACAUCUAAGUACCCCGAGGAAAAGAAAUCAACCGAGAUUCCCCCAGUAGCGGCGAGCGAACGGGGAGGAGCCCAGAGCCUGAAUCAGCAUGUGUGUUAGUGGAAGCGUCUGGAAAGGCGCGCGAUACAGGGUGACAGCCCCGUACACAAAAGCGCAUGUGC